rnacentral:rRNA from 1 species
ACCCCAAAGCUAGCCUAACUACCAAUCUAAAUAGACCUUAUUUAUCUAAUUUAUACUUAAAACCUCUACUUAAAACAUUUUUAAUUUUUAGUAUGGGCGACAGAACAAAAACUCAGCGCAAUAGCCUAUGUACCGCAAGGGAAUGCUGAAAAAGAAAUGAAACAAAUCAUCAAAGUACUAAAAAGCAGAGAUUCUACCUCGUACCUUUUGCAUCAUGAUUUAGCUAGAAAAAUUAGGCAAAAAGACUUAAAGUCUACCUUCCCGAAACUAAACGAGCUACUCCGGAGCAGCAUUAUUAGAGCCAACCCGUCUCUGUGGCAAAAGAGUGGGAAGACUCCCGAGUAGCAGUGAAAAGCCUACCGAGUUUAGUGAUAGCUGGUUACCCAAAAAAAGAACUUUAGUUCUGCAUUAAUUUUUUUAAACUAAAUAAGAUUUCCUUACCAAAGUAUAAUAUAAGAAUUAACAGUUAUUUAGAAGAGGUACAGCCCUUCUAAAUUAAGACACAACUUUCUAAGGUGGGAAAUGAUCAUAAUUAUUAAGGCUUCCCCCUCAGUGGGCCUAAAAGCAGCCACCUGUAAAGUAAGCGUCGCAGCUCCAGCCUUACAAUUAAACCUAUAAUUUAGAUAACUACUCAUAACCCCCUUAACAUUAUUGGGUUAUUUUAUUUUAAAAUAAAAGAACUUAUGCUAAAAUGAGUAAUUAAGAGAUUAGAUCUCUCCCAACACAAGUGUAUGUUAGAAAGAAUUAAAUCACUAACAAUUAAACGACCUCAGACUGAGGGCAUUAUAAUUUUUAAUUAUUAAACUAGAAAAACCUAUUUUAUUGCUCGUUAAUCCUACACAGGAGUGUACCAAGGAAAGAUUAAAAGAAAAUAAAGGAACUCGGCAAACACAAACUCCGCCUGUUUACCAAAAACAUCGCCUCCUGUUAAAUUAUAGGAGGUCCCGCCUGCCCUGUGACAAUGUUCAACGGCCGCGGUAUUUUGACCGUGCAAAGGUAGCGUAAUCACUUGUCUUUUAAAUGAAGACCCGUAUGAAAGACAUCACGAGAGUUUAACUGUCUCUAUUUUCUAAUCAAUGAAAUUGAUCUAUUCGUGCAGAAGCGAAUAUAAUAACAUUAGACGAGAAGACCCUAUGGAGCUUCAAACACUUGAACUAAUUAUGUAACUUUUUACAUCUCAGGGUAUAAACAAAAAUAUAAUACUUCUAGUUCAACUGUUUUUGGUUGGGGUGACCAAGGGGAAAAAUAAAUCCCCCUUAUCGACCGAGUACUCAGUACUUGAAAAUUAGAAUAACAAUUUUAAUUAAUAAAAUAUUUAUCGAAAAAUGACCCAGGAUUUCCUGAUCAAUGAACCAAGUUACCCUAGGGAUAACAGCGCAAUCCUUUCCCAGAGUCCCUAUCGACGAAAG